AGUCGAGGGGCAGCGGGGGAGUGGCAACACUUCCGCCGGCGACCGGCGCACGGGUGAGUAACACGUAUGAAACCUGCCCGCAGCAGGGGGAUAAGCGGAAGAAAUUCCGUCUAAUACCGCGUAACAACCGACGGGGGCAUCCCUGUUGGUUCAAAGGAGCGAUCCGGCUGCGGAUGGUCAUGCGGCGCAUUAGCUAGUUGGCGGGGCAACGGCCCACCAAGGCGACGAUGCGUAGGGGUUCUGAGAGGAAGGUCCCCCACACUGGUACUGAGACACGGACCAGACUCCUACGGGAGGCAGCAGUGAGGAAUAUUGGUCAAUGGCCGAGAGGCUGAACCAGCCAAGUCGCGUGAGGGAUGACGGCCUUACGGGUUGUAAACCUCUUUUGCCGGGGAGCAAAGAGCGGGACGCGUCCCGCCUCGAGAGUACCCGGAGAAAAAGCAUCGGCUAACUCCGUGCCAGCAGCCGCGGUAAUACGGAGGAUGCGAGCGUUAUCCGGAUUUAUUGGGUUUAAAGGGUGCGCAGGCGGAAGCGCAAGUCAGCGGUAAAAUUGAGAGGCUCAACCUCUUCCCGCCGUUGAAACUGCGUUUCUUGAGUGGGCGAGAAGUACGCGGAAUGCGUGGUGUAGCGGUGAAAUGCAUAGAUAUCACGCAGAACUCCGAUUGCGAAGGCAGCGUACCGGCGCCCAACUGACGCUCA
rnacentral:rRNA from 1 species